rnacentral:rRNA from 1 species
AACGAACGCUGGCGGCAGGCUUAACACAUGCAAGUCGAACGCUCACCUUUGGGUGGGAGUGGCAGACGGGUGAGUAACACGUGGGAACGUGCCUUCAGGUCUGGAAUAACCCUGGGAAACUAGGGCUAAUACCGGAUAUCCCCGGGAGGGGAAAGGCUUGCUGCCUGGAGAGCGGCCCGCGUCCGAUUAGCUAGUUGGUGUGGUAAUGGCGCACCAAGGCGACGAUCGGUAGCUGGUCUGAGAGGAUGGCCAGCCACAUUGGGACUGAGACACGGCCCAAACUCCUACGGGAGGCAGCAGUGGGGAAUAUUGGACAAUGGGCGCAAGCCUGAUCCAGCCAUGCCGCGUGAGUGAUGACGGCCUUAGGGUUGUAAAGCUCUUUUACCUGGGAAGAUAAUGACGGUACCAGGAGAAUAAGCCCCGGCUAACUUCGUGCCAGCCGCCGCAGUA